rnacentral:tRNA from 1 species
GGGGCGGUUAGCUCAGCUGGAAGAGCGCCUGGUUUACACCCAGGAGG